UACGUGGGGACCAAGCGUUGUUCGGAUUUACUGGGCGUAAAGGGCGCGUAGGCGGCGUGGUAAGUCACUUGUGAAAUCUCUGAGCUUAACUCAGAACGGCCAAGUGAUACUGCUGUGCUAGAGUGCAGAAGGGGCAAUCGGAAUUCUUGGUGUAGCGGUGAAAUGCGUAGAUAUCAAGAGGAACACCUGAGGUGAAGACGGGUUGCUGGGCUGACACUGACGCUGAGGCGCGAAAGCCAGGGGAGCAAACGGG
rnacentral:rRNA from 1 species